ensembl:lncRNA
UGAGUCAAGGUACGAUAAGGUCCUUCGGGGUAGUUUACACGUUAUUUGCCUGGCAUAGGGCGAAGGGGUGAUUGGUUUUGAAGAUGCCGCCAAAAAAGGGAGGCGGAAACAAGAAGGGCAAAGGCCCGGCAAAAAAGCGGGUAGUUCCCCAGGUGUCACCACCACAAUCAUCUUCCGAUGAGGAGUCCUGGGUAUUGCUAAAAGAAUUGCAGGCUAAAGUGGCAGGCCUUGAUGCAAAAAGGGCAGAAAGGCUCACUCCUAGGGGCAGCGAGACUACUCCACGACGCUCAGCUAGAGACACUAAAGGACGGCGUAGGGCAGACAUUAGAGCCAUCACAUUGGAGCUAACAAAGCGUUUUGAUGCCCUUGAGUCUGAGCAGGGUCGGGAGAUUGAAGGACCGAUGGCAGAUGACGAUUUAACUGCAGCUGCGGUGGGGACUGAUGGGCGGAAGCGCAGGAAGACAAUGACAACAGAUGGGCAGGAGCCAGGAGAAGGAACGUCAGUCAGCCACGAUUCCUAUGAUGAGCCCUCCACAAGUGGUUCAGGGGCUGCUGAAGCUUCUGGAGCAGCAAGGGUUAUUUCAGGUGGGUAUGAGGUAUCGCACAACACAGUUGGUGAAUCACCACAGUGGCCCUGGGUGGGAGGCCCACAUCCAGUGGGGGCGACACCAAUUAAGUAUGCACCAUCUGAUAGGACAUGGUCAGGGGGUUUUUGGCCCCCUGUGGGGCCGCAAUGGUUCGGAUGGGGCAUGCCAGGUUCAGCUCCCUUGCAGUCAUUUACAGUGGUGGAAGGUAAGAUUGCAACACCACAACAACAUCCGUCAGUGCCCAAUACAGGUUAUAACAUGGUCCCGAUUGCAGCUAUUCCGUACACGGAUUACAGUACGCCACUGGGAGACCAUUUGACGCCAGCAGUUAAGGAAAAAAUUUGGAGAGGAAAUUACAUUGACUUUUAUGAAUUGCUUAACCGGGAAUUUGAAGUAAAAGAGAUUGAUAAGGACGAUGAGAAACUAAAGGAAAAGCAUAGGCGUAAACGACAGGAUAGGAAUUGGAACAAUUGGGUCACGGGCUUUACCAUAUAUGCAGGUGUUUUAGUGAAAAUGCAACCUUGGAAGGCAUCUGCAUUGUUCCAAUACUUUGACAUUAUGCGUAGAGCGAAGGCUGAGUUUGAGGGACAGGCUUGGUUGAGGUACGAUGAGGCUUUCAGGAUGAGGAGUGCAAUCAGGCCGGAGCUGCGCUGGGAUGAAACACAUCCAGGGCUCUGGCUACAUCAUAUGUCACCAGCAAAGACGAGUUUAGGUGACAGAUUUGAUUGCGGGCACUUGAACAUAAAGUACUCAGGUAACACAGGUACCCGCCAGGGGGCGGGGCAGGCGGUUCAACCCCGGCUGCCUUGCUAUGAAUUUAAUAACAGAGGGUCGUGUGCCAAGGUACCAUGUAGGUUUCGGCAUGAAUGCCUCACAUGUGGUGGAAGACAUGCGAAAAUCAACUGUUUUAAAGCGGCAGCGCUGCGACAGAAUAAAUCAGGUGGCACAAACAAAAAACCAGAUGGAGGGGGUGGGGCUCCUGGAAAGGGGGCCCACCCCAAUUAAACUUGACAUAUUACAAAGGGGUCUGGCAAGGUACCCCAAAAGGGAAGACGCAGAAUAUUUGUACUUAGGUU